AUUAUAUUGGCAGAGGAAGUGCAUUAAAUUUAGAAUUUAAUAAUGUGAUUUAUUUACAUAUAAUA
rnacentral:tRNA from 1 species